UACGUAGGUGGCAAGCGUUAUCCGGAAUUAUUGGGCGUAAAGAGCGCGCAGGUGGUUGAUUAAGUCUGAUGUGAAAGCCCACGGCUUAACCGUGGAGGGUCAUUGGAAACUGGUCGACUUGAGUGCAGAAGAGGGAAGUGGAAUUCCGUGUGUAGCGGUGAAAUGCGUAGAGAUAUGGAGGAACACCAGUGGCGAAGGCGGCUUCCUGGUCUGUAACUGACACUGAGGCGCGAAAGCGUGGGGAGCGAACAGGAUUAGAUACCCU
rnacentral:rRNA from 1 species